rnacentral:rRNA from 1 species
AUUGAACGCUGGCGGCAUGCCUUACACAUGCAAGUCGAACGGCAGCACGGGAGCAAUCCUGGUGGCGAGUGGCGAACGGGUGAGUAAUAUAUCGGAACGUGCCCCGUCGUGGGGGAUAACGCAGCGAAAGCUGUGCUAAUAACGCAUACGAUUUACGGAUGAAAGCGGGGGAUCGCAAGACCUCGCGCGAUUGGAGCGGCCGAUAUCAGAUUAGCUAGUUGGUGAGGUAAAGGCUCCCCAAGGCGACGAUCUGUAGCUGGUUUGAGAGGACGACCAGCCCCCCCGGAAAUGAGACCCGGUCCCGACUCCUACGGGAGGCAGCAGUGGGGAAUUUUGGACAAUGGGCGCAAGCCUGAUCCAGCAAUGCCGCGUGCAGGAAGAAGGCCUUCGGGUUGUAAACUGCUUUUGUACGGAGCGAAACGGUCUUUCCUAAUACGAGAGGCUAAUGCCGGAAAGGGUAGAAUUACCCCCGGCUUCCUUCGUUCCAGC